AAUAUUGGGACAUAUAAAAAGAAAACAACUCUGUUCCGCAGAGUAUCUGACAUUAUAGUUGCGCAGGAACUUUGUUGACUCUAGAGAACCUCGGGCCAAUCGCACAUCUCCGUUGCGGUGACUCUGCAUGCGGAUGUCAUCCAUAUCAACUUUCGAUGCCAGUUUCUGCGCCUGCCGUGGUGACCAUGGGGAAUCAGGGUUCCAUUCCGUACAGGGACCCUGAGAAACUGCUACCACAUGCAAGGAAGGCAGCAGGCGCGCAAAUGACCCACUCCCGACGCGGGAAGGUAGUGA